GUUGAACGCUGGCGGCGUGCCUAAUACAUGCAAGUCGAGCGAACGGACGAGAAGCUUGCUUUUCUGAUGUUAGCGGCGGACGGGUGAGUAACACGUGGAUAACCUACCUAUAAGACUGGGAUAACUUCGGGAAACCGGAGCUAAUACCGGAUAAUAUUUUGAACCGCAUGGUUCAAAAGUGAAAGACGGUCUUGCUGUCACUUAUAGAUGGAUCCGCGCUGCAUUAGCUAGUUGGUAAGGUAACGGCUUACCAAGGCAACGAUGCAUAGCCGACCUGAGAGGGUGAUCGGCCACACUGGAACUGAGACACGGUCCGGACUCCUACGGGAGGCAGCAGUAGGGAAUCUUCCGCAAUGGGCGAAAGCCUGACGGAGCAACGCCGCGUGAGUGAUGAAGGUCUUCGGAUCGUAAAACUCUGUUAUUAGGGAAGAACAUAUGUGUAAGUAACUGUGCACAUCUUGACGGUACCUAAUCAGAAAGCCACGGCUAACUACGUG
rnacentral:rRNA from 1 species